GAUGAACGCUGGCGGCGUGCCUAAUACAUGCAAGUCGAGCGAACAGAUGAGGAGCUUGCUCCUCUGACGUUAGCGGCGGGCGGGUGAGUCACACGUGGAUAACCCACCUCUAAGACUUGGAUAACUUCGGGUAACCGGAGCUAAUACCGGAUAAUAUAUUGAACCGCAUGGUUCAAUAGUGAAAGACGGUUUUGCUGUCACGGAUGGAUGAGUUCGCGUCGUAUCAGCUAUGUAGUAAGGUAAUGGCUUACCAAGGCGGCGAUGUGUAGGCGGACUGAGAGGGUGGACGGCGACACUGGGACUGAGAGGAGGCCCAGAUACGGAAGGGAGGGAGCAGUGGGGAAGAUUGACGAAUGGGCGCAAGCUUGGUGCAGAAGGUCCGCGGGGGGGAUGACGGCGUUAGUGUUGAAGACUACUUGCGCAAGGGACGAAGCAUGUCGUGACGGUACCUAGAUAAGAAGCACCGGCUAACUACGUG
rnacentral:rRNA from 1 species